rnacentral:lncRNA from 1 species
GUGUAGGCCUCGGGGUGUCUUCCACCAGACUGCUGGUCUGUGGGACUGCUCUGGUUCAGUUCCCCCAGUGAUAGUGACACAGGCAUGGAGAGUCCAGCUUGUGUUUCCCUGUAGCUGGGUCUGGUGUUACUGGGCCUGGGUAGAGGUGGAGGAUAGGAUUGUUACUGGGCCUGGGUAGAGGUGGAGGAUAGGAUUGUUACUGGGCCUGGGUAGAGGUGGAGGAUAGGAUUGUUACUGGGCCUGGGUAGAGGUGGAGGAUAGGAUUGUAGCUGGGUCUGGGUAGAGGUGGAGGAUAGGAUUGUUACUGGGCCUGGGUAGAGGUGGAGGAUAGGAUUGUAACUGGGUCUGGUGUUACUGGGCCUGGGUAGAGGUGGAAGAUAGGAUUGUAGCUGGGUCUGGUGUUACUGGGCCUGGGUAGAGGUGGAAGAUAGGAUUGUAGCUGGUUCUGGUGUUACUGGGCCUGGGUAGAGGUGGAGGAUAGGAUUGUAACUGGGUCUGGUGUUACUGGGCCUGGGUAGAGGUGGAGGAUAGGAUUGUAACUGGGUCUGGUGUUACUGGGCCUGGGUAGAGGUGGAGGAUAGGAUUGUAGCUGGGUCUGGUGUUACUGGGCCUGGGUAGAGGUGGAGGAUAGGAUGGUAAACAGAG